rnacentral:rRNA from 1 species
CUACGGGUUGCUGCAGUGGGGAAUAUUGCACAAUGGGCGCAAGCCUGAUGCAGCAACGCCGUGUGAGUGAUGAAGGUCUUCGGAUUGUAAAACUCUGUCCUAGGGGAAGAAAAAAAUGACGGUACCCUAGGAGGAAGCCCCGGCUAACUACGUGCCAGCAGCCGCGGUAAUACGUAAGGGGCAAGCGUUAUCCGGAAUCACUGGGCGUAAAGGGUGCGUAGGUGGCCUAGCAAGCCAGGGGUGAAAGGCAUUGGCUUAACCAAUGUAAGCCUUUGGAACUGUUGGGCUUGAGUGCAGGAGAGGUAAGUGGAAUUCCUAGUGUAGAGGUGAAAUUCGUAGAUAUUAGGAGGAACACCAGUGGCGAAGGCGACUUACUGGACUGUAACUGACACUGAGGCACGAAAGCGUGGGGAGCGAACAGGAUUAGAUACCCCAGUAGUC